UGCCCAGCAACUCUUAUCCCUACCUCCUCUUACUUCCUCGUGGUAAUGGCCAGGGUACGAGCAACCUUAGGGAAGAUCGGAUAACCAACCCUGGUGAGAGCUCUCGUCGUAUGCUGGCAGGGAAGG
rnacentral:ribozyme from 1 species